rnacentral:tRNA from 3 species
GCUAGCGUAGCUUAACCUAAAGCAUGACACUGAAGAUGUCAAGAUGGGUCCUAGAAAAUCCCGCAAGCA